rnacentral:lncRNA from 10 species
AAAUACCUCUGAGCCCACUUUCUUUCUUGGAAGCAUUUUAUGACUCUUAUUUCUGUUAUCAACACAGCUUUUAUUUAUGUCUCCAUGUAUCCUUUGAAGAAACACAACUUUUCAGGUUCUAUGUUUUAUUUGCAUUCUUAGUGUCUGGCACAUUGUCUGACACAGUGUAAAAGCUGAGUAGAAUUUUGCCUGAUAGCAGAUGUGCCUGAAGUGAGGGUGUCCAAAAUUUCAUUAAAUGACGACUGCUUUAAUAUGAAUUCUUGGCUAAGGCAGGAGAAUCGCUUGAACCCAGGAGGCAGAGGUUGCAGUGAGCCGAGAUCACACCACUGCACUCCAGCCUGUAAUGUCUUACAAUAACAGAAUGCAGGAGAGCACAUAUCAAUGAAGAAAAGACAAAAUGUACUUAUCCAUGAAGCUGAGGUUAAGAAACCAGUGUCUUCAAGAGCCAGGGACAGCACUGGGUCUGUGCAGAGUUGAGAGAUGGUGAUGACAUGUGGUUUCCAGCAUUCCUCACCCAGUCCAGGGACACUGUGGGUGUGCCCAGCUUAAGUCCAGUAACUGGAAAUACAAGCCCAAGUUCUGGAGAGUUUGAGCUGCAG